rnacentral:rRNA from 1 species
CAGCAGCCGCGGGAAUACGUAGGUGGCGAGCGCUGUCCGGAUUUAUUGGGCGUAGAGGGAGUGUAGGCGGUCUUUUAAGUCUGAUGUGAAAGCCCCCGGCUCAACCGGGGAGGGUCAUUGGAAACUGGGAAACUUGAGUGCAGAAGAGGAGAGUGGAAUUCCACGUGUAGCGGUGAAAUGCGUAGAGAUGUGGAGGAACACCAGUGGCGAAGGCGACUCUCUGGUCUGCAACUGACGCUGAGGAGCGAAAGCGUGGGGAGCGAACAGGAUUAGAUACCCGAGUAGUCCCUGUCUCUUAUAU